rnacentral:rRNA from 1 species
UGGGGAAUUUUGGACAAUGGGCGAAAGCCUGAUCCAGCAAUGCCGCGUGUGUGAAGAAGGCCUUCGGGUUGUAAAGCACUUUUGUCCGGAAAGAAAUCCUUGGCUCUAAUACAGUCGGGGGAUGACGGUACCGGAAGAAUAAGCACCGGCUAACUACGUGCCAGCAGCCGCGGUAAUACGUAGGGUGCAAGCGUUAAUCGGAAUUACUGGGCGUAAAGCGUGCGCAGGCGGUUUGCUAAGACCGAUGUGAAAUCCCCGGGCUCAACCUGGGAACUGCAUUGGUGACUGGCAGGCUAGAGUAUGGCAGAGGGGGGUAGAAUUCCACGUGUAGCAGUGAAAUGCGUAGAGAUGUGGAGGAAUACCGAUGGCGAAGGCAGCCCCCUGGGCCAAUACUGAUGCUCAUGCACGAAAGCGUGGGGAGCAAACAGGAUUAGAUACCCUGGUAGUCCACGCCCUAAACGAUGUCAACUAGUUGUUGGGGAUUCAUUUCCUUAGUAACGUAGCUAACGCGUGAAGUUGACCGCCUGGGGAGUACGGUCGCAAGAUUAAAACUCAAAGGAAUUGACGGGGUCAUAGCUGUUUCCU